UACGUAGGCAGCGAGCGUUGUUCGGAGUUACUGGGCGUAAAGGGUGUGUAGGCGGUCCCUUAAGUUUGGUGUGAAAUCUCCCGGCUCAACUGGGAGGGUGCGCCGGAUACUGAGGGGCUAGAGUGCGGAAGAGGCGAGUGGAAUUCCUGGUGUAGCGGUGAAAUGCGCAGAUAUCAGGAGGAACACCUAUUGCGAAGGCAGCUCGCUGGGACGUAACUGACGCUGAGACGCGAAAGCGUGGGGAGCAAACAGG
rnacentral:rRNA from 1 species